GACGAACGCUGGCGGCGUGCUUAACACAUGCAAGUCGAACGCUGAAGCCUAGCUUUUGUUGGGUGGAUGAGUGGCGAACGGGUGAGUAACACGUGAGUAACCUGCCCCCUUCUUUGGGAUAACGCCCGGAAACGGGUGCUAAUACUGGAUAUUCACUGAUCUUCGCAUGGGGGUUGGUGGAAAGGUUUUUUCUGGUGGGGGAUGGGCUCGCGGCCUAUCAGCUUGUUGGUGGGGUGAUGGCCUACCAAGGCUUUGACGGGUAGCCGGCCUGAGAGGGUGACCGGUCACAUUGGGACUGAGAUACGGCCCAGACUCCUACGGGAGGCAGCAGUGGGGAAUAUUGCACAAUGGGCGAAAGCCUGAUGCAGCGACGCCGCGUGAGGGAUGGAGGCCUUCGGGUUGUAAACCUCUUUCGCUCAUGGUCAAGCCGCAACAUUGGUUGUGGUGAGGGUAGUGGGUAAAGAAGCGCCGGCUAACUACGU
rnacentral:rRNA from 1 species